UGGCUCAGAUUGAACGCUGGCGGCAGGCCUAACACAUGCAAGUCGAGCGGCAGCGACUUAACUGAACCUUCGGGGAACGUUAAGGGCGGCGAGCGGCGGACGGGUGAGUAAUGCCUGGGAAUAUGCCCUGAUGUGGGGGAUAACUAUUGGAAACGAUAGCUAAUACCGCAUAAUCUCUUCGGAGCAAAGAGGGGGACCUUCGGGCCUCUCGCGUCAGGAUUAGCCCAGGUGGGAUUAGCUUGUUGGUGAGGUAAUGGCUCACCAAGGCAACGAUCCCUAGCUGGUCUGAGAGGAUGAUCAGCCACACUGGAACUGAGACACGGUCCAGACUCCUACGGGAGGCAGCAGUGGGGAAUAUUGCACAAUGGGGGAAACCCUGAUGCAGCCAUGCCGCGUGUGUGAAGAAGGCCUUCGGGUUGUAAAGCACUUUCAGUAGGGAGGAAGGUAGUGUAGUUAACACCUGCAUUAUUUGACGUUACCUACAGAAGAAGCACCGGCUAACUCCGUGCCAGCAGCCGCGGUAAUACGGAGGGUGCGAGCGUUAAUCGGAAUUACUGGGCGUAAAGCGCAUGCAGGCGGCCUGUUAAGUCAGAUGUGAAAGCCCGGGGCUUAACCUCCGAAUU
rnacentral:rRNA from 1 species